CCUUGUUCCUGGGGGGGACCACCUGUGGCAAAGGCUCCCCCUCGAAACGGCCUCAACGGUGAGGGACGAAAGCUGGGGGAGCAAACCGGAUAAAAUACCCGGGUAGUCCUGGCCGUAAAGGAUGUGGGUUUGGUGUAGGGGAGACCCCAAGUCCCCGAGGGUGCCGAAGGGAAACCGUUAAAACCCCCCGCCUGGGAAAGUACGGUCCCAAGGUUUAAACCUUAAAGGGAAUUGGCGGGGGGAGCACCACAACCGGUGGGAGGCCUGCGGUUUAAUUUGGAUUCUAACGCCGGAAAACUCACCGGAUAAGACAGUUUGAAAUGAUUGACAGGGUGAAAACUCUGCCUGACUAG
rnacentral:rRNA from 1 species